UUCAGUUUAUUCCGUGCUUCAUCCAGAAAGACACUAAAUUGUAUACAAGACUUACAUCUGUACUGCUGCUAACCACAAGGAGCCGUGAUGGGGUCUUGGAUGGUCAGCACAAGCUUCUUGUCUAUGCUCACCGUCAGUGUGAACUGAGGUCUUCCUAUUAAAGCUACAAGAAAAGAACAGUAUUAAUGGACUUAAUACAUGACUUGAGGUACUACUCUAGUAUGCGAACUGAGAACGCGAGGUCGGA
ensembl:processed_transcript